rnacentral:pre_miRNA from 1 species
ACAAUAUUUGGAUCGUCAGUCUACCGGGCAAUUUCACCCGCUCCGUGGAAAAUCUUCCUGUUGUUGU